rnacentral:rRNA from 1 species
UAGAUGAUUUUAGUGCUUGCACUAAAUGAAACUAGAUACAAGCGAGCGGCGGACGGGUGAGUAACACGUGGGUAACCUGCCCAAGAGACUGGGAUAACACCUGGAAACAGAUGCUAAUACCGGAUAACAACACUAGACGCAUGUCUAGAGUUUGAAAGAUGGUUCUGCUAUCACUCUUGGAUGGACCUGCGGUGCAUUAGCUAGUUGGUAAGGUAACGGCUUACCAAGGCAAUGAUGCAUAGCCGAGUUGAGAGACUGAUCGGCCACAUUGGGACUGAGACACGGCCCAAACUCCUACGGGAGGCAGCAGUAGGGAAUCUUCCACAAUGGACGAAAGUCUGAUGGAGCAACGCCGCGUGAGUGAAGAAGGGUUUCGGCUCGUAAAGCUCUGUUGGUAGUGAAGAAAGAUAGAGGUAGUAACUGGCCUUUAUUUGACGGUAAUUACUUAGAAAGUCACGGCUAACUACGUGCCAGCAGCCGCGGUAAUACGUAGGUGGCAAGCGUUGUCCGGAUUUAUUGGGCGUAAAGCGAGUGCAGGCGGUUCAAUAAGUCUGAUGUGAAAGCCUUCGGCUCAACCGGAGAAUUGCAUCAGAAACUGUUGAACUUGAGUGCAGAAGAGGAGAGUGGAACUCCAUGUG